ensembl:lncRNA
GGAAGAUACGUCAUCUGGUUGUGCGUGGUCUUUUUCACUUUUCGCUUGCUGCCAGGGAGAGGAGUGGGUGUGUGCUUUCCAAGCCAUGCGCCUUCAUCAAGUUAGAGGCUGAUCUUCUAGAGAGGAGCUCUGUGGAGAAGGACUUGAAUAUCCUAGUGGACAGCAGGUUGACCAUGAGCCAGAAGUGUGCCCCUGUGGCCAAGAAGGUCAAAGAUAUCCUGGGGAACAAUAAAAGAAGUGUGGCCAGAAGGUUGAGGGAAAUGAUCCUCCCACUCUACCCUGCCGCGCAGAGUGCACGUCUGGACUACUGCAUCCAUUUCUGGGCUCCUCAGUUCAAGAAAGACAGUGAACUUCUAGACAGAGUCCAGCAGAGAACCACAACAAUAUUUAGUGGCCUGGAACAUCUCUCUUGUGAGGAAAGUUGUUGCAAUUGGACUGAAGCGAUUGCUGAUAGGAGAACAGACUGACAGAAGAACUCACUGAGAGCAGCUCUGUGGAGAAGGACUCGGGGGUCCUGAUGAAUGAAAAGCUGGACACAAGCUAUCAGUGUGCACUUGCAGCCCAGAAAGACAACUAUAUCCUGGGCUGUAUCAAAAGAGGAGUGAGCCAGCAGAGUGAGGGAGAGGAUUGUCCCCCUCUACUCUGCCUUUGUGAUGUCCCACCUGGAGUACUGUGUGCAUGCCUGGGGCCCCUACUACAAGAACAAUGGGGGGCUGUUGGCGUGGGUCCAGAGAAUGGCCAUUGAGAUGAUCAGAGGCCUGGAGCACCCGUCCUGUGAAGAAAGGUUGAGGGAGUGGGGCUUGUUUAGCUUGGGGAAGAGAGGACUAUGGGGAGAUCUCAUUACGGUCUUCCAGUACCUGAAGGGAGCUAACAAGCAGUCUUCUUUCACAGUCUGAUAGUGACAAGACAAGGGGGAAUGCCUAGAAACUAAAUGAGAGUAGAUUUAGGUUAGCUUAUAGGAAGAAAUUUUUUACUCAGAGGAUUGUGAAGUGUUGGAAACAUAUGUUGCCCAGAAGGGUUAUGGAUGCCCCAUCCCUGGAGGUAUUGAAGGCCAGAUUGGCUACCGCCCUGGGUAACCUUAACUGGUGGCUGGCAGGGUUGUCAACCUAAGCCAUUCCAUGAUUCUAUGAUCCUAUGAAAGGCCAAGAGACCUUGGACUAUUAAGCCUGAAUAAGAGAAGACUGAGGGAGGAUCUUAUCAAUGCUUUAAAUAUCUACAGGGCAGGAGUCAAGUGGAUGGGGCCAGGCUCCUUUUGGCAAUGCCCAGUGACAGGACAAUGGGCAAUGGGCACAGACUAAAACACAGGAAGUUCCAUCUGAACAUGAGAAAAAACAACUUUUUUUGGAGGGUGACAGAGCACUGGAAAAGCUGCCCAGAGAAGUUUUGGAGCCUCCUUUUAUAGAGAUACUCAGAAGUCUCCCAAAUGCUUUCCUGUGUAAUUACCUCUAGGCAACAUGCUUUAGCGGAGGUGUUGGUCUAGAUUAUCUCCAAAGAUCCCUUCUAACCCCUAUGGUUCUGUGAUUUUGAGAUUUUUAGGCAUUGGCAAAGUACUAAUAGUGAAGGACAAAUUUUCAUAGUGAGAAUUCUGGAAAGCUGGAGCAAAUUAUUGAGAAUGUAUUUUCUUUGUAUAAAAUAUUUAGAUGUCCCUUAUCUUUCAAAUCAUUGUUGCUUGACAGUCACUGUACAGUGAUUUAAAUAAAUAUGACAAACUGCGCUAUUACCCACACAGUAGGGAUAACACAGUUGGAGGUAUAAUUCCUCCAUCAUAUAUUCUAGCUCAAAGGUUGGUGUGCAGAAUUAACUCCAGUUACAUAUACAAAUCUGGAGCAUGACCUUGUGUGACUGAGGUGCAGGCUAUAUCAUUCUUUGAUUAUCCCUGCAUCAGAAAUAGUAACUUCAGGAAAUUCUGUAAGGUUGAGAGACAGCAAUGAUGACUUGUUUAACACUCAUAACAUUCAGCAGGGCUGGUCUGGAAGACCAUCAAAAUACAUAAAUAAGUGAUAACCUUCAAAAGAGAUGUUACGCAUUUCUGAACAUAAGGUAACAGGAUGUGUAACUAUAAAAUUCUUCUUGUUUAGGAUUGUGAGAGAUGAUACAGUUUUAGGUGCUGGAAUGAAAAGGCUUUGACAUAAGCAGAGAAUGAUUUUGAGGGAGAUAAGGUGUCUUUCACCUGUUUUUAUUAAACUGUGAAAUUAUUUACUAUUGUAUAUAGGAAAGACUGGUAGUGGGGGUGUGGUUUGUAUGGGUGGCAGAGGGAAAACCAAUUUCAGAGGGGAGGAAGCAGGAGGAGGCAGUCCAUGGCAGAGGAUACAGUCACUGUAGUCCAGGGAGAGCCCGCACUGGCACAGAUUUUUCCUGACAAGAGCUGAAAUCCUAACAAAAACUCAGAAGGGAAUAGAUUCCACAGCCCCCCCCCCCCCCCCUCCCCCCGCCAAGGAACUACAGCUUAUGGAUAACUGACUAACCCACAAUGGAACAGGGAAAAUGUGUUAGGAAAUUGGAAAUAAGUCUUGUUUAAUGCUUUUUUUUUUUUUUUUUUUUUUUUCCUGCUACCAGGGAAAGGUCACAAAGUUGAUCAGAGGGCUGGAACAUUUCCCCUGUAAGGACAGGCUGAGAAAGCUGAGGUUGUUCAGUCUGGAGAAGAGAGGAGGGCCUACAGAAAUUCUGGGGUGAGAUAUUUUAUAAGGGCGUGUAGCAACAGGAUGUAGGAAAAUGGCUAUAAAAUGGAAGAGAGUAGAUUUAGACUAGUCAUAAGGAAGAAUAUAAGAAAUUAUAAGGAAGAAGUUUUUCUCUGUGAGAGUAAUGAGACACUGGAACAGGUUGCUCAGAGACAUUGUGGGUGUCCCCUCCCAGGAGGUGUUCAAGGCCACGCUAGAUGGGGCUUUGAGCAACCUGGUCUAGCAGGAGGUGUCCUUGUCCAUGGCAAGGGUUAGAACAACACAUUCUCUAAGGUCCCUUCCAACACAUACCAUUCUGUGAUUCUAUGAAAAUUAGUAAUGACAUUUUUAUUUUACUUGGCAACAAAUUCACCACAUCAAGAUGUUUUGCCUGCAGUGGUAGUUAGAAAGCAAUCUACCUGUCUUAAUCUUGAUCCUUCUUGUUCUUUCUGCUUUCUAAUCCCAUCCUACUGCAGGAGGAAUUAAGUAAGCAGCUAAGUAAGCAUUUGGCUUUUAGCCAAGUCUAACCCAUCUUGUUGCUCUUAAGAAUUUCUGCCUUGUUCUUGCCUCCUAAAUAUUUAGUCAUCAGGUCCAGUUUCCACCUUGGACAUGUCAAUAUUCCUGCAAAGUACAACUAAUUUUGUAAGUAAGUGUAAAUAAGUUCAAAGUGAUCUUGAAAAUUUAAACUCAAAGGUACUUUUUUCUUUUUCUUUUUCUUUUUUAUUUUAAUAGCAGAUAGGCUAGGCUAUGCUCUAUGCUUGCCUAGAAGAUUUUAUCAGGAUUUAGAAACAUUAGAGACACUUCAACCCACUUUCUCCUCUUCCUUUUGUGACACACUUUAGUUUUUGUCACAUAUAAAAUGGAAUAAAAAUCAUCAAUAGUACUAAAAUGAAUGUCUGUCUAAGAAUUACCAUUUCUGAUGCAGUUGAUGUAGCACAUGUAAAAAGUAUAUUUUGCUUUGGUCUGAUGGAAAUGUGCAUCUGAUUUAGAAUAAUUUGUCUUGCUACUUGAGCAAACAAAAUGUAAUUAAGUUGCCUAUAACAGCUAAGAAUAAUAGCUUCUCAUUAAUAUUGUUACCUGGGUGUUAAAAAACCUAAAGCAAGGCAAAUGUAAUGAAUUUAGCAAGUUAACAGAAUUGCCUUUUUUUUUUUUUAAGCAAUCUUUUCAUGCCACUGUAUUUGAGAUGGUGUCAGCAUUGCUAUUAUAAAUAAUUUAAGCAUUUAUAACUCAGUAAGAGAAGAGCACUAGUUCAGUCACAUUCUAAAUGAGUUAUUUGCUCAAUAUGUCUUCAAGGCUUAAGGGAACAUAAGAUAAAACUUACAUUUUCCUCUAGGGGCAUUAGUAAUUAAGCUAGAUAUUCAACUUUAACCAGACAAUUAAAAAAGGUUCCUCAGUGCUACUUUGAAUGCAAAGUUUGUCUAAACAUGAUGUACUUACAUGCAGGAUAGGAUGAUUUUGGGAGGUAUUCCAAGAACAGAAACAGCAGUGACUAUCACUGCUUGUCAAAUAAUGAAUAAUAAGAGUUGUCCUGCAGAGGACAAGUGAGAGGUCAGAGGAAGAAGAUAGCUUUUUUUCUUUUGUUAACGGAUGGUGCAAAAAUUCUAUGUUACCAUUCGGAUGGAGAAAAUAUAAGAUAUUGUUCUAGGCCCCUUUCCAAAAAAGCACUUAUACUUUCAUUUGUGUGGUAGUGAACAGUCUUGCUGAUUUCAGCCACUUUUCACAUGGCUAAAUUGAAGCACACACUUACAGAACUGUUGGAUUGUUGCUGAGACAGAUGCAUACUUAGGAAGCAAAAGAGCAGUAAGGUUGAAAUUAGUAAUUCAGUCACAACACUAGCAUCAUUCUCAUGAUGCAUAAAAGCAUUAUUUUUCAACAUUCACUUCUCUUUCUGAAGGACUGGAAACAAAUAGCAGGUAAUAAUCAGAACAGUUUAAAUCUGCAGUUUAGUAAUUCAAAUCUUAUAUGAUAAUUUUUUGCAUUCUCACUCUUGUGCCAAAUUAAAAGUUUUGAAAUAGAAUUAAUGGAGUUAGAAUUCACAUGAGAAUUUGUUAAUUGCUGUGAUAAAAAUAAUGAGAUUGACAGGCUUGAGAACUGGGCCCUAAUGAGGUUCAACAAGGGCAAGUGUAAGGACUUGGGGGGUCCUGGUGGAUGAGAAGCUGGACAUGAGCCAAUAGUAUGCAUAUGCAGCCCAGAGGGCCAACUGUAUUCGGGGCUGCAUUAAAAAAGGAGUGGCCAGAAGGGAUAGGGAGGUAAUUGUCCCCUUCUACUCAGCUCUUGUGAGACUGCCUGAACCCAUCUUUGGCUUUGGCUUUGGCUCAAAGCUUGCUUUCUGAGGCAUUUCUUGUGAUAAGACUCUUACUUAUCUAGGAGAUGAGAGGUGCUGUGUGGCAGUGGGCAUCACUGUGUGGACUAUUUUACAUUUGAAAACAUUUCUUUGGAGCUGUUUGCCUUCUGAAGAGAAUGCUCAGGACUGUUUUCUGGCGGAAGAUCUGUCCUGUGACCAAAUAACUCCAGAUUGCUAUGGCAGACUGGGGGGAUGAUACCAUUGUAUCCUGUGAAGGCAAGAAAUAAGGGGGUGCCUCCCUGCUCCCUCUUGUCUGCUGGCAAGGCCCAGAAGAUGGGAACAAAAGGAGUUCCUGCUGUGAUCCAAAAGCCAGCAGCUGUCACUACAAAAGGAGCUGACUAGGCCACUUUGGACUUAUAAAUAAGCUUGUACUGACAUUGGAAAGAGUCGUUGUCAUCGUCGCUGUCAUUAUCGUCAAAUGAACAACAACCCCUGAUGACCCAUCACUACUGAAGAUCAACAUCUGAACUACGAGCAGUGCUGGAAUCCAUGGUGCUAGACAGAGGCCCCAUCUGGAGUACUGCAUCCAUGUGUGAGGCCCCCAGCACAAGAAAGACGCAGAGCUCUUGGAACAGGUCCAGAGGAGGACCACUAAGAUGAUCAGAGGGCUGGAGCACCUAUGAAGAAAAGUUGAGGGAACUGGGCUUGUUUAGCUUGGAGAAGAGAAGGCUCCAGGGAGACCUCCCUGUGGCCUUCCAGUACUUAAAGGGAGAGUAUAAACAGGAGGGGGUACAACUGUUUACAUGGGUCGAUAGUGACAUGACAAGGGCAAUAGUUUUAAACUAAUACAGGGGGACUUUAGGUUAAAUAUUAGGAGGAAGUUUUUCACUCAGAGGGUGGUGAUGCACUGGAACAGGUUGCCCAAGGAGGUAGUGGAUGCCCCAUCUCUGGAGGCAUUCAAGGCAAGGAUAAGUGUGCCUCUGGUCUAGUCAUUGGUGACCUUGCCCAUGGCAGGGGGGAUGAAGCUAGAUGAUCUUUGAGGUCUUUUUCAAUCUAGGCCGAUCUGUGAUUCUAUGUUUUGCAGUAGAUGAGCUACUGCUGGACAAUUUCUGCAUGUAUCAUUUUUAAAAGAAUUUACACUGAUUACAUCAGAACAUUCAGUCUUUCUUGACAGUCUUUUUUCUUGUUAUUGGCAGGGCAGUAAUUACUACAUAAAAAUAUGUAUGUAGGAACAGAGAACACUUUAAGAACUUUGUUAUGAGGUAAAUACUAGGCAAAAAAUAUAAAAGGAGAAUUUGUAAUGAGCACAUCCGAUAAUACACAAAAAGUAUAUUUUCUUCUUUUUUUUUCCUCCCUCUCCUAAUGAGGUUCUGAAUAAAAUCAUUUAAAAAUGAUCCUUCCUUUUGUGUUAAGAAAGAGAGCUUCUUCUAUCGCAUGUCCAUAUCACUUGAAGUACUACUCUAGGUAUUCAAAUGAUUCCAAUCCCUUGAAAUCAGCAUGAGCAGAUAGAAGGCAAACCUGAUGAAGAGCUCGUUAGGCAAUCUCAGAAAAGAUUUUGAAGUGAUAAACUAUUUUUGCUGUUUUCACAAAUUUUCAGGUAUAAAGUCCUAGGUUCUGUUUCACAUGGAGCAGACAAAUCACCUGGGAAGCUGAUGCCCUUUGAUGAAGAGAAAGCCUCUAAGACUUUCUUUAACUCUGCAUCAAUUCAUAGGAAAGAAGUUUUGGAACCAUGGCUCAUAGAGCUUUUAACCUUUUGUGGAGACUGCCUGAUGAGGUUCUGCACAGAUGCCUUUAUGGAAUGAGAGAAGUUCUAUGAGAGAGAGAAGAACAUUUCAGCUUCUUGUGCUGCCCUGCCAGUGAGGAGACGGGGGGUGCAAAGAAGCUGAGGUGGGACAGAACCAGGACAGCUGACCCAAAAUGUCCAAAGGAAUAUCCUAUACCAUAUGACAUAGUUCUGACAAUAAAACUGGGAGACUGAGUGAGCUGUGUCAUGCUGAGCUGCCUGCCAGGGUUAAACCACAGCAGUAGUGCACCCAACAGAGGACUGGAAGAGUUUGAGAUUAUGACAGAUUUGACUGGAGUAUGGAGCGUGCUACACCAAAUGCAUAGUUGUUAUACUCUUCAGCUGCUAAUUGGUAUGCUCCCACAGUUUUCCUGGGUCUUGCUUGCCUUACUGUAUUUUGGAGUCUACUAUCUGUUAGUGGAUGCUUUUGCUCUGUCUUCCCUCUCCACUUUCUACUUUCCACUCUCCCCUCUCCUCAGAAAACAAACAAACAAUAAUAGUAAUAAUAAUAGUAAUAGUAAUAAAACAAAACAAACAAACAAAACAAAACAAAACAAAAAAACCCGGAGGUUUUUAAUCAGUAGAUGGCAGUAAGAGCUAGCAAGAAGCCUGAAAGGGAGUCUCACAGACCUACACAUUAAUCAUACAUAUAGCAAAUUCCACAAAGUACAAGCCGACAAAGACCCUGCUUUACCACAAUCAAUCUUUAUUCACCACUAGAUUACAGUGGUUAGAUAUAUUUGAUUGCCACAGGUCCAAGAAAAAGCUUAUAAAUAACUAUAAAUGUAAUCGGCUUAAAUUUUUGCCAUUGUAUUUUUUGGUUUUAUUUUUGUUGUAGGCUGAGAUUGGGGUGCAAUCUGUUUAUCCUUAGAUUUGUUGUAUGACCACCCAGUCCAUCUGUCACCUUGACUUUGAAGCUGUAAUUUUAAUGUUUGGCUCUGUAAAUGUUUAAAGCAUCAUUACAAAUUUACAAAGGGAAAGAUACUGCUAACGGUGCAGCUGAAAUAAGACUGUCUCAGCUCACUUGUCUUUACUCCAAGACUUUCACUGCUGUGUGCCUGUGUUUUAAGCUGAAAUGAUAUCACAACAGUGAAGUAAUGCUGCAUUGUACUGCAGGAUCCAUUUUGGACAGCUCUAUUCUCUAGCCUGCAUUGCUUUUUCAAAAAGUCACAAUGUACAAUGGAUGUUCUCUUUAUUCACUUGUGAAAGGUAUGAAUUCAUGUAUUUUUCUAACAUACACUCAGCAAAAAAAGCAGUGUAAGUAUACUUGAAAAAAAAAAAAAAAAAGAAAAUAGAAUAAUAAUGUUGAUUUACUUUCCAGCUCACUAUCUAUAUAUAGUUAGAAAUGUAUAUUUAAUUUUCUGUAAAUUUGCAAGCUUUUUAACUGUGUAAUAUAUAUAAAAUUUGAAAUCCACACUGUAUUUCUCUGUUUGACUCUAUUUGUUUAAGCUAUGUAUUUGUGUACCAAUCAGACCUAUGAUAGUUUUAUUUAACUUCACAGUCCUUUUUCUGUGAAAGAAAAUUGUCUUUUUCUGCUUCCCAUUCAGUAGUACAGAUGUACAAGAAUUUUGUAACAAUCUUAAAUUUUCUUGCUUAAUAAAAAUAUUUUCACAGUAUAACACUGAAAUAACAUCAUGUAAGAUUGAAAGAAAAAAGAGAAGCACAAAAUUAAAGAGAAGUUUGUGGCCUUUAGUUAUAAAUAUAGAGGAGUUUAUGGAGGCCACAAUGAAACAAUCAGCUCUGAAAGAAGUUUGAGACAAGAAAGCAUUAUUUCCAUAGGAGGUGAGUAGGGUCAGGGCACUGGUUCUGAAAAGCACCAUAAACUUUUGAAAGAUAUAAUUAAUGAUGAAAACAGGCAGACAGAUUAAGAGGUGCAUAUAUGUGUGCAUAGAUAUGUACAUUAUAUAUAAAUAUAAAUGAUAUAGUUACAGAUAUUGAUAGCAUAAUUAAUUUCUAGUUGGUCAAUAUUAGGAACCGCUAUAUAGCAUAGUAGUUGCAUUUGCUGUGGGGUGCUGGCAUUAAGAAAUUUGUAUACCAUGGUUAAACAUAUAUACAGCAAUGAAUUCAACUCAGUAAGUGUUCCCUCUCCCCCUACAAAGUACACUGAUGUUUUAUAUUCUGUUGAAAUCAAUUGAAGUGUAUCACAUUGGCAUCCAAAGAAAACAACAGUUGGUGAUUUCAGAUUUCCCAGGUGAGGACUGCAAUCAGUUGAUCAAACUGCAAUUGCUUUUUACUCUGGGGUAAAUACAAAUAUGCAUGGAUUGUUCUUUGUGGUCAUGCUUCAGUGGUAUCCAGCUAGCUUCUGACAUCACCAGGUCUCCUUUACAGGCAGAUAAUUUUAUCCUUUUGCCAAGGACAGCCACUUUAGUCACAGCAUUUUGUAUCUGCCUUGGCUGCAGGAGAGUCAUCUCUUUUAACACAUUCAGAAACGAAUAUAUUUUACCAACAAAUUCUCCAUUCUAACAUUUUUGCUUCAUUUGUGAUUUUUUAUUCUUUUAUGUGGCCCUUUUACAUUAAAGCUAAACCAGAGCAUUCCUUCAUAAAUAAAUAAAUAAAUAAAUCUAGCUGAUUGAGUGCCAAAGACUGCACAAUAGACUUCACUAAGAGCUGAGAUUUAUUCAUUGCAAGCAUAAAGCAUUUGAGUACUCUGCAAUUUAAUCUUUUUUUUUUUUUUUUUUUUUUUUUUUUCACUUUCAUCAAGCAAUUGGUAGGCUGUAGAGAGUUCUAGCAAUUUUUUUGAUUAAUUCAGUACAAUAUUACCUUUGGUUCUCUAUCAGCAUGAAGGUUAUAAAAACAAUAGCAUUUAAGAUAUAGAAAAUAUCUCAAAAAGGUGACAAUAAUACUAAAUAUGUAUUCUAUUUUUUGACAAAAAUGUCGAUGCAGGACUGAAAAGGAGUAAUAAAAUACCACUGUGAUAUUAACACUUUGUGGGAGGACACUGUCAUCUUUGUAAUUUAAUGCUUUGUUUGUUUUUCAUAGUUUUUACACUGGCAGAAUAUCCAGAGCCCAGUAUAAAUUUUUAAAAAGUCAGAAAUUCAUUAAUACUUCUCUUUAUGUCAUGUUCACAGAUUGAAUCUGAUUGGAAUUUCAAAGAAGGUCAGAGUGAACUUUUCAAGUUUUAUGUGAAUAAAAACACCCAACAGGAUCAAAACCUAUUCCACUUUAUUCAUUCAGAAUAUAAUCAAAUAAAUAUGGGCUUAACAGCUUCUUUCUUUAACCCCAAAUUCGAAAGGCUUAUGUGAGUUCUUCCAUUACCUUGCUAUUGUGGAAAUACUGAGAAGCAACUUCCUCUCCAUUUCAAGUUUCAUACUGGAAUUAAUGCACUAAUAUCUGUCUUGGGAAACAGGUAUUUGUAAUGUUAAUUCAGUCCUCAUCAGCAUCAUAACUUUAGAGCUAAUGACAAAAUGAUGUAACAAGAUAAUGGAGUCUGAAAGUGAACAAUAGAAAUUAUGUUCCACUCCCCAAUCCAGACACAUUUUUUAAAUAUUAGAGAUGUGGAACAAAGGUAAUGAGAAUCUGACAAGUCACUCACUAUUUGACAGUAAGGAGAAAUACAGAGAAAAAGAGAGUGUUGAAGACUCAAAAAGUGCAGUGGGAGGAAACACAGCACCAACUGUACAGAAGCAAUUUUCAUGUCACAGUCUGUAUUAAGGAAUUAAUGUCAGUUUUUCUCCUCACUUCAAAAUAUUGAUAUUUAAAACAAUCAAAACGGUUUUAUUCAAAAAGUUCCAGUAGCAGCAGUAUUAAAUUAUAGAAUUAUUUUAUUAAAUUAAACAGAAAAAUACUGAGGUUUUAUUAGCUGUGUAGAGAUGACAGGUAACCCCUUUUCUUCAACAGACUGGUGUAAGAGGGUGAUCUUAUAUUUAUUGACUUGCCACACUCUCGUGUGAUCUGUCUUUUGUACAUGUAGCUAUCUGCCAAUCAGAAGGCAGAUAGUGGAAAAUACCUUUCUCCAUCUCUUUGCCUGUGUACUCAUCCUCAUCCACAAAAUAUUUCCUUCACUUCAACAGUGUAAGUCCAUUUAAAAGUAUACAGAAACUACCAUGACUUACUAGAUUAUUACAAGAUUUAGAGGAAUAAAGUUAUGUUCUUUGAGACUAAUUAUUUUUGCUUCUGGCUUUCAUUGUAUUCUGUACAUCAACAGGCUUCCUGUUUGAAAAACAGUUCACUUUUAAAUGGCUUCAUGCUGUUAUCCAAGAUAUUAUAAAUUUGGUAUAG